rnacentral:ribozyme from 1 species
CACCUGUCGGACAUUCGGGCCGAUCUGGAGUGGGCCGAGGACGCCGCCUGGCGACGACGCAGAAACGAACCAUACCUGUCCUGGAAAGACUUUGACUCACACCGCGACCAGGG